rnacentral:snoRNA from 1 species
UAGCAAGCCUCCAGCGUGCUUGAGUCUGCUAUGACCCUUUGCAUUCCUACAGUGCUUUCCAGAAGAGUUUUGAGACAGCUUGACCUUACCCUGCUUCAUUCAGAACAAGGUCAUGGAAAUUUCAGACAAUU